GACGAACGCUGGCGGCAGGCCUAACACAUGCAAGUCGAACGAGUGGCGGACGGGUUAGUAAUGUCUGGGAAACUGCCCGAUGGAGGGGGAUAACUACUGGAAACGGUAGCUAAUACCGCAUACCAUCGGAUGUGCCCAGAUGGGAUUGGCUAGUAGGUGGGGUAACGGCUCACCUAGGCGCCGAUCCCUAGCUGGUCUGAGAGGAUGAACCGCCACACUGGAACUGAGACACGGUCCAUACUCCGACGGUAGGCAGCAGUGGGGAAUAUUGCACAAUGGGCGCAAGCCUGAUGCAGCCCGGCCGCGUGUAUGAAGAAGGCCUUCGGGUUGUAAAGUACUUUCAGCGAGGAGGCGUUACUCGCAGAAGAAGCACCGGCUAACUCCGUGCCAGCAGCCGCGGUAAUAC
rnacentral:rRNA from 1 species